CGGCAACAGCUCAAAUUUGAAAUCUGGCUUCGGCCCGAGUUGUAAUUUGCAGAGGAUGCUUCUGGCGCGGUGCCUUCCGAGUUCCCUGGAACGGGACGCCACAGAGGGUGAGAGCCCCGUAUGGUUGGACACCAAGCCUGUGUGAAGCUCCUUCGACGAGUCGAGUAGUUUGGGAAUGCUGCUCAAAAUGGGAGGUAAAUCUCUUCUAAAGCUAAAUACCGGCCAGAGACCGAUAGCGCACAAGUAGAGUGAUCGAAAGAUGAAAAGCACCUUGAAAAGGGGGUUAAACAGUACGUGAAAUUGUUGAAAGGGAAGCGCUCAUGACCAGACUUGCGCCGGGCGGCUCAUCAGGGGUUCUCCCCUGUGUAUUCCGCCCGGCUCAGGCCAGCAUCGGUUGUUGUUGGGGGAUAAGAACGGUGGGAACGUGGCUCCCCUCGGGGAGUGUUAUAGCCCACCGUACGAUACCCUGGCGGCGACCGAGGUUCGCGCUCCGCAAGGAUGCUGGCGUAAUGGUCAUCAGCGACCCGUCUUGAA
rnacentral:rRNA from 1 species